rnacentral:rRNA from 1 species
UGGGGAAUAUUGCACAAUGGGCGCAAGCCUGAUGCAGCCAUGCCGCGUGUAUAAAGAAGGCCUUCGGGUUGUAAAGUACUUUCAGUCGGGAGGAAGGUGUCAAGGUUAAUAACCUUGGCAAUUGACGUUACCGACAGAAGAAGCACCGGCUAACUCCGUGCCAGCAGCCGCGGUAAUACGGAGGGUGCAAGCGUUAAUCGGAAUUACUGGGCGUAAAGCGCACGCAGGCGGUUGAUUGAGUCAGAUGUGAAAUCCCCGGGCUUAACCCGGGAAUUGCAUCUGAUACUGGUCAGCUAGAGUCUUGUAGAGGGGGGUAGAAUUCCAUGUGUAGCGGUGAAAUGCGUAGAGAUGUGGAGGAAUACCGGUGGCGAAGGCGGCCCCCUGGACAAAGACUGACGCUCAGGUGCGAAAGCGUGGGGAGCAAACAGG